AGUAAGACAGACGAUCGCGGAUCCUUCGGGAGAUGAGGAAAGUCCGAGCACCACAGGGCAGGGUGCCGGGUAACACCCGGUGAAGGCGACUUCAAGGAAAGUGCAACAGAAAGAAACCGCCUGCUUUUGCAGGUAAGGAUGGAAAGGCGAGGUAAGAGCUCACCGACGGUAUGGCGACAUGCCGAUCCUGUAAACCCCACUCGGUGCAAGAUUGAAUUGGGAGCAUUGAACAGCGGCCCGCUGCGCUCUUUGUAAUCGCAUGAACGGUGCGGCAACGUACCGUCUAGAUAGAUGAUCGUCCUUUGACAGAACUCGGCUUACGGCUU
rnacentral:RNase_P_RNA from 1 species